rnacentral:rRNA from 1 species
GAGUUUGAUCCUGGCUCAGAACGAACGCUGGCGGCGUGCUUAACACAUGCAAGUCGAACGUGAUCCAGAGCUUGCUCUGGUGAAAGUGGCGCACGGGUGAGUAACGCGUGGAUAACCUGCCCUGGUAUCUGGGAUAACAUCUCGAAAGGGGUGCUAAUACCGGAUAAGCCUACGGGAUCUUCGGAUUCUGCAGGAAAAGGAGGCCUCUAUUUAUAAGCUUCCGUAUCAUGAUGGGUCCGCGUACCAUUAGCUAGUUGGUAGAGUAACGGUCUACCAAGGCUGCGAUCGGUAGCUGGUCUGAGAGGACGGUCAGCCACACUGGGACUGAGACACGGCCCAGACUCCUACGGGAGGCAGCAGCAAGGGAUUUUGUGCAAUGGGCGAAAGCCUGACACAGCGACGCCGCGUGGGGGAUGAAGGCCUUCGGGUUGUAAACCCCUUUUCUCAGGGAGGAAUAAUGACAGUACCUGAGGAAUAAGUCACGGCUAACUACGUGCCAGCAGCCGCGGUAAUAC